AAUCUAGAGCUAAUACGUGCGGUACAUUGGCGUACCUUCGGGUAUGUCAAAGCAUUUAUUAGACUAAACCAUCUACUAUACUUCGGUGUAGUAAGGGGAAUCUGGAUAACUUUGCUGAUCGUAUGGCCUUGUGCCGGCGACGUUUCAAUUGAGUUUCUGCCCUAUCAACUUGUUGGUAAGGUAUUGGCUUACCAAGGUUGCAACGGGUAACGGGGAAUCAGGGUUCGAUUCCGGAGAGGGAGCCUGAGAAACGGCUACCACAUCCAAGGAAGGCAACAGGCGCGCAAAUUACCCAAUCUAGACAGUAGGAGGUGGUGAAGAGAAUUACUAAGUGGUGGUCUAAUAGAUCACUUGUUUGGAAUGAACGUAACUUAAGAAAUUCGAUGAGAAACAACUGGAGGGCAAGUCCUGGUGCCAGCAGCCGCGGUAAUUCCAGCUCCAGUAGUUUGCUUUAAAGUUGUUGCGUUUAAAACGCUCGUAGUUGGAUCACGCAGCAGUGCUCAGUAAUCUAGAGUCUGGAAACGCUAAUGGUUCGUCUCUGACGGCCAUUGAGUGAAUUCGGCGAUAGAUAUUAUGCUGGACAUUGCUAGUUGCACGUGAGAUAGAUUGUUGGCCUUGAAUGAGCCGAUAUUCUCGUCUUGCGGGGUGUGCCUUGAAUAAAACAGAGUGCUCAAAGCAGGUUAUUGCCUGAAUGUUAUAGCAUGGAACGAACAAUCGUGUACAUGUGCAUGUUUUUAAAUGGCAAUGAGCUUUUGGUUUGUCGCGGUUUAGAACAUGCACGGCACCCACCAAAAUAUGGCUGUUGGUUCCAUAUACGGUGAUGAUUAAAAGGAGCGGUUGGGGGCAUCAGUAUUUGGCCGCGAGAGGUGAAAUUCUUAGACCGGCCAAGGACUAACAAAUGCAAAGGCACUUGUCUAGACCGUUUCCAUUAAUCAAGAACGAAAGUGGGAGGUUCGAAGACGAUCAGAUACCGUCAUAGUUCCCACCGUAAACUAUGCCGACCUGGGAUCAGUUUGGAGAUGUUACAAGCUCUAGAUUGGUCCCCCUGGGAAACCUGAAGUUUUUCGGUUACGGGGAGAGUAUGGUCGCAAGGCUGAAACUUAAAGGAAUUGACGGAAGGGCACCACCAGGGGUGGAGCCUGCGGCUUAAUUUGACUCAACACGGGGAAACUUACCUGGUCCAGACAUCGAUAGGAUUAACAGAUCAAUAGCUCUUUUAUGAUCCGAUGAGUGGUGGUGCAUGGCCGUUCUUAGUUCGUGGAGUGAUCUGUCGGCUCAAUUGCGGUAACGAACGAGACCACAGUCUCCAUUUAAGAGAUAAAAGAAGGCGGUGUAGUUUAUAGAUCCCUCGCGGGUUUUGUAGGCUACGCGUUGCAGGAAGAAUGGUGUGCUCUAUUGGCAUGCAUGCAAUGGAAACUGCGUAUGUUUGUUGGCAGAGUGUGUUAUUUCUCCCUUUUAUCACGCAGCAGUUGGUUUUACUGGCUGUUGCCUUAUGGAGAGACAACGAGGUAUAAACAAGC
rnacentral:rRNA from 1 species